GAAGGAUUGUGGCUUGGAGACUUAGGUGGAAAGGGCAGCACAUGGAUACCUGCAGGAAGGAGUUCCAUUCAGGAUUUGAAGCAGUUGGGAGACUACAGCAAACACCAGUCACCUGGCAGUUAUUGCUGUGAGAUGAACAGGUGAUUACAGGCAAAAGGCAGGGAAGAUGAUACGCGGAAGAGAGGAGAGAAGCAGAGGGGAGCCUGUGCAGUGUCUAUUAGAGAGCUCGCUUUUCAGUAGCACACAAGCCAGUUUAAAGGAGCAAAAAGCAACAGUUUCUCCAGCUUUUCCUUUCUGCGCCAGACAAGAUUUCUUUGAGAGUAAAAUAAAAGUCUCCCUUCUGAUCUCAUGGGUAAAAAUUAAAAGAGUUCCCUAUUUAUCACAGCAGAAAUUUUAGCUCCAUCUAUUUCUUGUCUCUUUCUAAUUCAGCCUUUGAGGUACCAUUUAAGUUUUAGAAUUCAGAGCUUUUCAGAAAUAAUUUCCCAGCACUUUUCUUCCACACUAAAAAUUCAUGCCAUAAAUGUUAAUUUUGCAGUAUUAAUAUUUAGUGCUAGCAUGGAAGGUGCUGGACCAGCAUCCCUUGGACACCUAAAUCUAAACCUAAGGAAUAGUGUAGCCAAGACAACAAUAGGUCUCAUGUCCUCCCUUGAGCUCUGUUAUGUAUCUGACCUCUUGCUGCUGGGAGGAUCAAUAGCAGCAAGGGAUUACAGCAGGGUUACCCCAGGCAAGCCUCACACCUAGGCUGGUAACAGACAGCUAGCCUUACUCGCCAACACUCAUUCCAGGCAUAGGGAGAGUAAGGUACACCUAUACCUCUGUUUCCACAAACACAGUAACUACUUGCAUCCAUAGUAUCUGUUGCUAGGAGUUAUGCUAGAGAUGAAUUUGGUUCAGUAUAAAACCUGGCUAACUGCAGAGUUGACUGUCUGUGAGAGGGGCUGUUAUGAAUGAUGGAUGUGUAGUUCUCAGCACAUGCUACAGGUCACUGCCAUUUUAUUAUGGUAUCUUCAGUGAAACAUAGGUAGCAGUGGUACUUAAGUGUGACCUCUGUGACAGAAACUUCAGGAAAUGAAAUCCAUCAGGCUACUCUUUUACACUGGUAGUUGAAUUGCUAUCAAAGGUGGAGCAGUGGGCAAACCUGAUUUCUUCAAACUCAGACAUUCUUUGAAGUUCUGUAGCCUUUCUGAGCUUGUAAAACCAUUGAUAGAAAGGCACACUGCUUUAACAGGUACAAGAAAUAAAAGCAGCUUCUGUUUCUCUGCAUGAGGAGAUUUGAGAGCUGUCACUGAGCUUAGCCUGUACUAAAAGUAAAAGGGGUAGAUGCUCUUCAGAAAGCCAUGUUGGAGUGGUUUCCUCAUGUGAGGUGAAUGUGUUCAGCACACUGCUGCCAGAGCACAGCCUGUUUAGCCCACUGGAAUAGAGUACCCCAAGCGCAGAGAUUAAAGCCUUUGUGAGAUGAAGGGGGACAUGCUGGAUACUUGAAUAGAAGAGAUCCUUAUGGUGGUUGAAGUAAACCAAACCUAGAUAUUCUUCAUUUAACACAAAGCAUGUUCAUAGUUACUGAUCUUGCUCAGGGUCUGGAGUAUCAGAAGAAUCUUUUCCUAAUCUAUGGCAGCAUUUGGAAAGGGGAGGCUUGCUGGGGCUAUGUGCAGACAUCUGUGGGGCGUGCUUGGAGAAGACAGAAAGGAGACAUACAAUCUUGGGGCUAAAAGCAAUUGCUAUAGGCACUUCUGUGUAAAGUCACUAUUGCCAAUGCCUAAACCUUUCCACUCUCUUAGUUUUAGAGACUAGCAUAUUGGAACCAAAAAAGAACUGCCUACUCAUAAAGUUGGCCCAACAUAUGUUGGCUCUUGCCUCUCCAGCAAGUCUGUAAGCUCUCCAGGGAAGGGACUCUCUGCUUCUACAGUUUACAUAGCGCUGAGUACACUGAACUAUCCUUUGUACAUUAAUCUGUUAAACAGGGCCAAUUCUAACCCGUUAUUGUCAGUUUGCAUUAGCAAAUUCCAACAUUACCUCUUUCCAAAUUACAAUUGAUUAAUGCCUAUGAAAAUGAGAUGUUCCUCCCGCAUGUGUUCUUACUUGUUUCCACCAACACAGGGCAGUCGAUGCAAAAUUUCAGAACAGAUCUGAACUUCUCAAGAUUUCUGGCCCUUAGACUGGACUCUCGGCAGAAGUGAAUUUGUGUCCCUCAACCUGUCAGAGCCUCCCAAUGGUUACUAUUGCUUUGGGCUAACUUCCUGCUAGCCCAAGCUCACAGGUUGCAAUCAGCUUGCAUUUCUCUUCUCCCAAAUGAAUGUCAAACAUCUCAUUGCCCUUCGCUGAUGUCAGUCCACUGGCUCUGUUGAAUUUACUCACCCUGACAUAAAUGAGAGAAGAACUAGGCUCCAAAGCUGCUGUAGUGGUUGCUCAUGGCAAACCAUGGUCCCUGGGGGCUGAGCUGGAAAGGGAAUUAGACCUGUCCUGUGUCACUAGUAACAGAGGCUUAUGUCUCAGCUUUUGUAGGUAACUUGACUUAACUGCAUGCCGAAGGAAAACACGGAAGCCCUGAAAACAGAUUGCUUUUUUUCUUUUUUUUUUUCUCCAAAAAUACAGUGUAACAGUGCAAGCUGGGCAGACUGCUGCUGGUCGGUCAUAUGCAGAAAAAGCACAGCACAGUAAUGCUGCUCUGGUGGGCAGGGGCACUGGGUCUGCUCCAGCACAGCUCGUUCUGCCUGCAGUGCCAAGAAGUACUGGGUCUGUGGUCACUGCUGUCCUCAGCAGUAUUUGAAGUAGUGUAGUAAAGACAAUGGUACCUGCAUUCCAUUCCUAAGCUUUGUACACAUGCAACCCCCUCUGGUUUAUUUUAUUUAAGCUUCUAUUUUAGAAACGUAAGCAGAACUUGUUCUCACCCUCUGUCUUGUUCUUGGAAAAGUACAUUAAAAAAAAAAAAAAAAAGACUAUUUUGAACCUUGGCAAAACCAGUCUGAGUCACAGAAAAGCUUUGGGUCACAACCUGUUCUUGCUGACCUUACUCUCUUAACCUCAUGAUGUAGCCCUGCACCAGCUGCCGUUGACCCUCAUUAGCCUCUAUGGGGUGGAGCUAGUGCUGCCAUCUCCCUGGCAGGCACCUCGUAUUGCUAAAAACCAAUGGAAAUUCCCUUUUGGAUCUGAUUUUAGAGUAGAGUCAGUUGCUUUUUCAGUUCUCAAUGCAGCAAAAUAAAUAACAAAGAUUUACAAAGAUUUAAUAUGAAAUAUAUAUAGAAUCAGACUUGCUGACACGAAUAAGGUAGAGCACAAAGUUUUCCAGAGCUUGAAGCCAAGUGGGUCUCCUUCUGGGAUUCUAAAACCUAGAAACAUUUGGUUUAUUGUUUCUCAUCUCUCAGAAAUAUGUCGUCCCUCUGCUCUUGUAGUAAAAGAAAAACCUGUAUAAGAAAUAAAACUACUUAUCUCAUAUCUGUGGGGAGCAACUUAGGAUGGGAACCAGCAUCCUUGAAGGCACCCAUCUCAAUUCUGAAGAUACCAUUACACUUAAAAAGAGGCUACCCUUACCCAGAUGAAUGUAACUAGCAGGGAAGUAACUAUGACUCUUUUGAAGUAAAUCUAUUGGGAAUAAUGUUGCUGAAAUUUCACUUCUGGCUCUAAACUUCCCCUCACCUCCCGAGGGGCGAAGCUGAGUUGAAAUCUGCCCUCUUCCCACAGUGGUGCUGCUAAAUGAAUGCGUCACCUGUGAAUUACAGGGCAGUAAAUACAUCCAGUGGCACCUCAUAAAGCAAGGCAGAGUGAAGUUCCGGUGCUUUAUGGUGUCACCAGAACCCUGUGAUGUAUUUAUAGCCAGCUUCACAGUUUUUCCUUUUUAUUUUUUUUAUUUUUAUGUUGUACAGAUUGGCUCUCUUGGCCUUUCUCCUUUUUGCCUAAGGCAAUUUACCCAGUGGCUUGUAGGAAAGGAAGGUCAGUAGGCAGAAUUCACACAGGAUGGCUCCUCAGCAUGGGGACAGCACACAGCAGCUCUGCUUUUACUGAUCAGGGACCACCAGGCACUUUAUGGCUUAGGCCAGGCAGUCUGAAAUGAUGCUUAUCUCUUUCGUACAUCCCCUGCAGCAAAAAGUGGAGGUCAGCAGGCUUUCAGGGCAUGUUCUGACUUGGGAGAGGAGGUGGGAGAUAAAGUGUAACAGUACAGUUAGGAGAAGGGGGAGGCUUCCUCUCCAAGCCCUGAUGCUUCGGGAUAUCCUGCCACCUGCAAGGCAACAACUCCAGGGUCCUCCGCAAAGCUCAGGGAUGGAAACACUUGUGCCCAGAUGAAGCUGCCCCGUUCCCUGUGCUGUGCUGCUGCAGCACACUGUAGGUCUGCCACCUUGACCAGCGGCCACCACAUCAGCGGGAUGUGCAUCCCAGUGAGAUGUGCUGUUCAGAACGGAGGAUCCCGGGGCCUGUUCUGUUCAGUUCCCAUGUCUAUCAGGCACUCACUGGCUUAACGCUUCUGAGCCUCUGCUUUCUUAUCUGCAGAACAACAAAGUAAUACCUAAAGCUGUUGGAUGACCUCAUUAAUAAAAGAUUUUAAAGCACUCUCAGAUUCUUAGGUGGCAGAUGUUGGAUAAAUUUGGAAGUCAUAUUCUUGCUUUUCAGCUUUAGCACCUGCAGUCAUUGAUUAAGCCCAGCAAAACACUGAAAUAUUUCUGACUGAUCGAGCCACUGAUUUAGAUCACUCAAACUAAAAGUCUCUAGAAAAUAAGCUGUGAGUGUACCGGGGUCAGUGGGAAGCUCCAGAUGUGGAACUUGGGCUGACAGCACGACAUGCUGCACCAAUAGGACGUGAGAGAAUGACCUCAAGUUGCACCAGGAGAGGUUCAGGUUGUAUAUUAGGAGAAAUUUCAUCUCAGAAAGAGUGGUAAUACAUCGGAACAGGCUGCCUAGGGAGGUGGCAGAGUCACAGUCCCUGGAGGUGUUCAAGAACUACACGUGGAGGGA